GGGAGCUUAGCUCAGCUGGUUCAGAGCACCUGCCUUACAAGCAGGGGGUCACUGGUUCGAACCCAGUAGUUCCCACUA
rnacentral:tRNA from 1 species